CCUCUGUCUCUUUCCCCCUCUCUUCCUAAAACAAAAUUUCUCUUUCCAAACCUCUGCCUGAAGGACUGAAAGUACACGGAGAGGAUUCGCAAUUUGUUCCUGAGACUACCGGGUAAGAAAUACAGGAUUACUGCGGAAAAUAUUGACUGACGAAUGCCUUUGGCUAUUCUGCAGGGAGCUGGAAAAGUGCCGUUAAAUAGACUCUUUUCUUGUGAUCAGCUGUUGUAUUUCAAGAAGGUGGCAUCCAUCAGCAAGGAUCCCCACCAUCUGGGCAUACUCUCUUCUUGCUGCGACCAUUAGAGAGGAGGUACAGAAGCUUCAAACCCCACACCAUCAAGUUAAGGAAGACCUCGUUUUCUAAAUCCAUCAGAUUAUUACACUCACCUACAGAACCCCAAUCCUACUUCGAUGAUGGAACACCACGGAUCACUUCUUGCACUACCAUGGACUUAUUUUCUUAUUGUGUUUUCACACGAAUGUCUUGUUUUGUACAGUCUUUGUGUGUCGUCUGAGUCCGUGUGCCUGUGGUGCUGCUACAAGCAACAUUUUCAUUGCAACUCUACCUCAAUAUACUUUUGCAUGUGGCAAUAAACUAGAUUUGAUUUGAAUUGGCCUGUGCAGGCUCUGUCACAGGACAAUGCAGUGGACUAGUGCAGUGAUCUUAAGGUUAUGAGGAAUAGGAGUAGAAUUAAGCCAUUCGGCCCAUCAAGUCUACUCUACCAUUCAAUCAUGGCUGAUCUAACUCUCCCUCCUAACCCCAUCCUUCUGCCUUCUCCCUUUAACCCCUGACACCCGUACUAAUCAAGGAUCUCUCAACCUGCUCAUAAAAAAUAGUCAUUGGCUUGACCUCCACAGCCGUCUGUGGCAAUGAAUUCCACAGAUUCACCACCCUCUGAAUAAAGAAAUUCCUCCUCAUCUCCUUUCUAAUAGUACGUCCUUUUAAUCUGAGGCUAUGGCCCCUGGUCCUAGACUCUCCCGCUAGUGGAAAUAUCCUCUCCACAUUAACUCUAUCCAGGACUUUCACUGAGUGAUGCUGAGUAAGAGAUCAGCAAGGAUCUUAAUGAAAAAUAGAUGAGGCUGAUUCUAUUUCUCAAGUUCUCAUGUCGUGGCAACAAUCACCAUUCGUUAGUUUCAGCAGGCUUGUGAGAUUACUGAAAUUACUGCACUUAACAAGUGUGAACGGUGCAAAUAUCUCGAUUAGCCUCAGAUGCACCCGUCUCUGCAC